UACGUAGGGGGCAAGCGUUGUCCGGAAUCAUUGGGCGUAAAGCGCGCGUAGGCGGCCCGGUAAGUCCGCUGUGAAAGUCCAGGGCUCAACCCUGGAAUGCCGGUGGAUACUGGCAGGCUUGAAUCCGGGAGAGGGAUGCGGAAUUCCAGGUGUAGCGGUGAAAUGCGUAGAUAUCUGGAGGAACACCGGUGGCGAAGGCGGCAUCCUGGACCAAUAUUGACGCUGAGGAGCGAAAGCCAGGGGAGCAAACGGG
rnacentral:rRNA from 1 species